rnacentral:rRNA from 1 species
AAAUGAAUUGACGGGGGCCCGCACAAGCAGUGGAGUAUGUGGUUUAAUUCGACGCAACGCGAAGAACCUUACCAGGACUUGACAUCCCGUGCAUAGUAUAGAGAUAUAUGAAGUCCUUCGGGACACGGAGACAGGUGGUGCAUGGUUGUCGUCAGCUCGUGUCGUGAGAUGUUGGGUUAAGUCCCGCAACGAGCGCAACCCUUGCUAUUAGUUGCCAUCAUUAAGUUGGGCACUCUAAUAGGACUGCCGGUGACAAAUCGGAGGAAGGUGGGGACGACGUCAAAUCAUCAUGCCCCUUAUGUCCUGGGCUACACACGUACUACAAUGGUGAGAACAAAGCGAAGCGAAACAGCGAUGUGGAGCAAACCGCGAAAUCUCAUCUCAGUUCAGAUUGCAGGCUGCAACUCGCCUGCAUGAAGUCGGAAUUGCUAGUAAUCGCGGAUCAGCAUGCCGCGGUGAAUACGUUCCCGGGCCUUGUACACACCGCCCGU